UACGUAGGGUGCGAGCGUUAAUCGGAAUUACUGGGCGUAAAGCGUGCGUAGGCGGUUUUGUAAGUCAGAUGUGAAACCUCCGGGCUUAACUCGGGGACUGCGUUUGAAACUACAAGGCUAGAGUGUAGCAGAGGGGGGUGGAAUUCCACGUGUAGCAGUGAAAUGCGUAGAGAUGUGGAGGAACACCGAUGGCGAAGGCAGCCCCCUGGGCUAACACUGACGCUCAGGCACGAAAGCGUGGGGAGCAAACAGG
rnacentral:rRNA from 1 species